CAGUAGCCGCGGUAAAACAGAGGGUGCGAGCGUUAAUCGGAUUUACUGGGCGUAAAGCGCAUGUAGGCGGAUCGAUUAGUCAGGGGUGAAAUCCCAGGACUCAACCCUGGAACUGCCUUUGAUACUGUCGAUCUGGAGUAUGGAAGAGGUGAGUGGAAUUCCGAGUGUAGAGGUGAAAUUCGUAGAUAUUCGGAGGAACACCAGUGGCGAAGGCGGCUCACUGGUCCAUUACUGACGCUGAGGUGCGAAAGCGUGGGGAGCAAACAGGAUUAGAUACCCGAGUAGUCCCUGUCUCUUAUAC
rnacentral:rRNA from 1 species